rnacentral:rRNA from 1 species
AUGAACGCUGGCGGCGUGGAUGAGUCAUGCAAGUCAAACGGGAUCACUUUAUGUAGCAAUACAUGUUGUGAUUCAGUGGCAGACGAGGUAGUAACACGUAGGAACCUAACCUUGAGUCGGGAAUAAUUCACCGAAAGGCGAACUAAUACCCGAUGGUAUCUAAGGAUUAAAGAAGCAAUUCGCUUAAGGAAGGGCCUGCGGAGUAUCAGCUAGUUGGUAAGGUAACGGCUUACCAAGGCUAUGACGCUUAGGGGACCUGAGAGGGUGACCCCCACCGAUGGGACUGAGACACGGCCCAUACACCUACGGGUGGCUGCAGACGAGAAUAUUCGACAAUGGGCGAAAGCCUGAUCGAGCGACGCCGCGUGAUGGAUGAAGACCCUCUGGGUCGUAAACAUCUUUUAUGGAGGAGAAAGUCAGCCAAUUUAUUGGCUGAUUGAUAGUACUUCAUGAAUAAGGGGUUGCUAAACUCGU